GACGAACGCUGGCGGCGUGCCUAAUACAUGCAAGUAGAACGCUGAAGUCGGAGCUUGCUUCUCUGGAUGAGUUGCGAACGGGUGAGUCCCGCGUAGGUCACCUGCCUGGUAGCGGGGGAUAACUAUUGGACACGAUAGCUAAUACCGCAUAAGAGUAGAUGUUGCAUGACAUUCGCUUAAAAGGUGCACUUGCAUCACUACCACAUGGACCUGCGUUGUAUUAGCUCGUUGGCGGGGUAACGGCACACCAAGGCGACGAUACAUAGCCGACCUGGGAGGGUGCUCGCCCCCAAGGGGACGGAGAAACGGCCCAGAUUUCCAAGGGAGGAAGCAGUAGCGAAUCGUCGGCAAUGGACGGAAGUCUGACCGAGCAACGCCGUGGGAGUGAAGAACGACUUCGGAACGUAAAGCUCUGUUGUUAGAGAAGGACGAGUGUGAGAGUGGAAAGUUCACACUGUGACGGUAACUUACCAGAAAGGGACGGCUAACUACGUG
rnacentral:rRNA from 1 species